rnacentral:lncRNA from 1 species
UUGAUAUUAUAAAGUAAAUGCCCAACCUCAGCAAUUUUUAAACCAUCUAUUAUCUAUAUAUAUCAGAGAAAGCUGAGCAAAUAUUGAAAAAUUGUCCAAGACUCCAACUUCACGUCUUCACCACUCACUAACUCACCAACAAAAAGUAAACUUUGAAACAAAUGAAACUUGGCAAUUGAUAUGAAAUAUUAAAAACUGGUUACAAAUUAACAAGUGACAUAGAGAAAUAGAGAAUUAUGUAUUUAUUCAAGAACAG